rnacentral:rRNA from 1 species
AUGGAAGCCGCCACACGCAGCGCCUCCUUGCUGAGGCGGGUCAGCUUGGCGAUGCAGACAAUGUCGCCGUCAGUGAGCGGCUCAUCGAACUUGUGCAGCAGCUUCUCGACUGUCUUGGCGGUCAUCUUCUCCUUUGGACCAAGCAAGCCCAGCUUGCGCACCAGCCACAGGGUCCCUCGCUGCGAGACGGGCACGAAUGUCGGGUUUGCAGCUUGUCGGGCGCUGUGGCGAACAGGAGCAGGCACGACCCUAGUCUUGGGCGGGGCAGACGAUCGGCGCACCGACGCUUCAGGCACCAACGGCGGCUUGGUGGCUUGGAAGAGGCGCAGCGGGCUAGCGGCCGGGUCUGAAGCCUCGCUCUCUGCACCAAGCUGGAGGCAGCAGACCUGGUGGGUGACGGCGCCCAGCUGCAUCUCCGCCGCCGUGGGACGGGCCGGUUCCUUGCGACUGAGGUGGCCCACCGCGGCGCUUGGGCCGGCCAGGGUUGGGCCGAAGACGUCCGGCAAGCCCGUGGCCACCGCGUGGAUGCUGUUGACUUGGUCGUCGAACUCCAGAGGGGCCGAGACCACAGCCGCCACGUGGGCCUCCAGCUCAGCAGCCAUGCAGUCGAAGGGGGGUGGCUGCGAGAGAUGGUUCUUGGCGCCGGCGAAGAAGUCGGCGAUCGGGUCAGGGACUGGUGCAGCUUCAGCGGACGGCGGCGAGGGCAGGGGAUGCGGUGCCUGGAGUAGAGCGGCCCCCGCGCCCGCAGCAUGGCGGCGGCCUGAGUUGCAGCGGCCCCGCGAGCUCUCGGAGCGACGCUGCCCAGGGGGGAGCGGCUGCGGCGACGAGACGCGCCCUCCUGGUCGGCCACCUCCUUUCCGGCACGACUCCGGCCUAGGAGCGUGUCCUUCCAGGACCUGCGCCCACCCUGAUCUUCUCCGUCGUCGUCCUUGCGGCCACCACCUCCGCGAGGGGCGCCGUGGUACCCCAUGUCCGCAAGCGCAGCAAGCUGGCGACGGUGCUGCGGCUCACGCUGGCCAUCUUCCACCCCCUUCUUCCAGGAGCCGGCAGGGAUGA